UCUCGAAAUCACACGCAUUUUCCCCUCUUUCUGGAAAUCGCUCGCGUUCUCUUCCUCACAGAACCUCUCACUUGCAGUCUCCCACCGUCAAAAUCGCGUUUCUCCCUCUUCCUCCCACAACAACUCACAGAACCCUUCCACUUCCAUUUUCCCCUCUCUUGAAAUCACUCGCAUUUUUUUUCCUCUUCCUCACACAACCUCUCAUUUGCACUCUCCCACUGUCAAAAUCGCGUUUCUCCCUCUUCCUCCCACAACUCAGAACCCUUCCACUUCAACUCUCACACCGGCAUUUCGUUAGUGUGGCUAUCACUCACUGCCGUCGUCGUUCACUAUCGGCGGUGACUCUUCAGUUUUCCAGGGUUUAGGAAUGGCUAUGGGAAUGGUUAAAUGGAAAGCACAUCUAUAGUCAACAUGAACCUGUGCCUAAAAAGGUUCUUGACUUGAUGAAUGUUGAAAAGCUUACAUGGGGGAAUGUGGCCCACCACCUUCAGGCAUUGAUGAUAUUGUUCUAUUCAUAGAGCAUACGAUAAGGCUGCUAUCGUGGAGUAAAUGCUGAUAUAAACUUUAGUUUGGGAGAUUAUGAGGAGGAUUUGAAGCAGAUGAGAAUUUUGACAAAGGAAGAGUUUGUGCUUGUUCUUCAUCGACAAAUCAGUGAAAUAUUGAGGAGAAACGCAACUCAGAUAAGUGCUUUAGCUCUUCACAAAGGUGGUCAAGGAGAACAAAGUAUAAGACCAUUUAUUAGCAAGACGUGGAAAUGCUGAGAAGGACCAUGCUUGUUAGGAGAGAUUUAAGGACAUGGACUUCCGAAGAAGUGUUUUUAAAGUAGA